rnacentral:lncRNA from 1 species
GGGUUCCGCUUGACUCUGCAUUCUCCUACUUCCCUGCCUGCUUACUCUCUGCCAUCAUAGUUUUUUGCUUCAACCUUCAAAUGUAGCCAUUCUUUUUCUAAAGCGGUACUUAUUCUCUUUAUUAGUUAAAAUUAUUAAUUUUAUGCACUUACUGUUCUAGCUCCAAUUUUGCAUUUCCAGUUCCCUGCUGGGAAUAAAUUAAAUUGGCAGAAGCUCAGUCUAAGUGCCUGCAACAGAAUUUGUCCCAUAUCCAUACAACUUGCUCCUCCACAACAAAUGGGAGAAUCAUCCUCUUACCUCCAGGCUGUGAUGGAGGAGAAGCUACCCCUCAGCACAGGAUUUUGGUAGAAUAAGAAUAAAAAUGACAAGUCCCUUCCUGAAAAGCUCUUCAUUGUCUCUUGAAAACGGUCUGUGAAAGUGCCAAACCACCAGCUCUCCAGAUGUGGCUGAAUAUCAAGCAAAACAAAAUAUGUGGAAGGUAAUAGAAGAAUAGAAACGGAUUUCAGAGUAAACUAAGACUGCUCUCUAUGGUGAUUUAAUACUUCAGCCUGUUUAAAACAUCCUUUUAACACCUGUUUUUUGGUUUUGGUUUUGUUUUGUUCUGUUUUGUCUACUUUAACUCAAAUUCCCUAUCAGCUUUUCCUUCAUAAGAAAACAUUUCAGAAAA